GGAUGUGAAGACUAUCUGGCUCCAACAUCUAUCAUUCCAUUGACCGUCAGGGUUAAUUUGGCUGAUUUGUCUGCAUAGGCCCUUUGUCUCUCACUGCUCUAUGUGUGUCCCUCCAGAAGCUGUGUGCUUGGUCAAAGGGGACGACCUUCCCUGAUAGAGAAGGACCAUUCUUCAGACAAGGGUAUAUGAGUAACUGCACUCCCCUGCUAGAACCUCUCAACAAGCUUUCAAAGAUGGAACUCUGCUUUUUUACCUUCUACCAAAAAAGAUUUAAUAUAAUUUAUACAAUGAUCUAUGUUCCUUCCAUUAUCAUGUAUAUUAAUUUUCAGU
rnacentral:snRNA from 1 species